rnacentral:rRNA from 1 species
GACGAACGCUGGCGGCGUGCUUAACACAUGCAAGUCGAACGGAAAGGCCCCUUUGGGGGUACUCGUGAGGCGCACGGGUGAGUAACACGUGUGUAACCUGCCCUGGACUUCGGGAUAACCUCAGGAAAAUGGGGCUAAUACCGGCUUGGAAUCCUUGCGGCAUGGUGGGGGUUGGUAAGCUUCGGCGGUUUUGGAUGAGCUCGCGGCUUAUAAGCUUGUUGGUGGGGUAGUGGCUUACCAAGGCUUUGACGGGUAACUGGCCUGAGAGGGUGACCGGCCACACUGAGACUGAGAUACGGCCCAGACUCCUACGGGAGGAAGCAGGGGGGAAGAUUGAACAAUGGGCGGAAGCCUGAUGCAGCAACGCCGCGGGCGGGAUGACGGCCUUCGGGUUGUGAACCGCUUUCAGCAGGAGCGAAGCUUGUGGUGACGGUACCUGCAGAAGAAGCACCGGCUAACUACGUG